rnacentral:rRNA from 1 species
GAUGAACGCUGGCGGCGUGCCUAAUACAUGCAAGUCGAGCGAACAGACGAGGAGCUUGCUCCUCUGACGUUAGCGGCGGACGGGUGAGUAACACGGGGAUAACCUACCUAUAAUACUGGGAUAACUUCGGGAAACCGGAGCUAAUACCGGAUAAUAUAUUGAACCGCAUGGUUCAAUAGUGAAAGACGGUUUUGCUGUCACUUAUAGAUGGAUCCGCGCCGCAUUAGCUAGUUGGUAAGGUAACGGCUUACCAAGGCAACGAUGCGUAGCCGACCUGAGAGGGUGAUAGGCCACACUGGAAGUGAGACACGGUCCAGACUCCUACGGGAGGCAGCAGUAGGGAAUCUUCCGCAAUGGGCGAAAGCCUGACGGAGCAACGGCGCGUGAGUGAUGAAGGUCUUCGGAUCGUAAAACUCUGUUAUUAGGGAAGAACACAUGUGUAAGUAACUAUGCACGUCUUGACGGUACCUAAUCAGAAAGCCACGGCUAACUACGUG